rnacentral:rRNA from 1 species
GACGAACGCUGGCGGCGUGCCUAAUACAUGCAAGUAGGACGCAGUUGCGAACGUGUGAGUAACGCGUAGGUAACUACCUAUUAGAGGGGGAUAACUAUUGGAAACGAUAGCUAAUACCGCAUACUAGUAGAUGGACCUGCGUUGUAUUAGCUAGUAGGUAGGGGAAUGGCCUAACUAGGCAACGAUACAUAGCCGAACUAGUAGGGAGGACGGCCACACAUGGACGUAGGCACGGCCCAGAAUCCUACGGGAAGCAACAGUAGGGAAUCUUGGGCAAUGGGGGGAACCCUGGCCGAGCAACGCCGCGUGAGUGAAGAGGGGUUUCGGAUCGUAAAGCUCUGUUGUUAAGGGAGCGGUACUUGACCAGAAAGGAACGGCUAACUACGUGCCAGCAGCCGCGGUAAUUC